CCUACGGGAGGCAGCAGUGGGGAAUAUUGGACAAUGGGGGCAACCCUGAUCCGGCCAUGCCGCGUGUGUGAAGAAGGCCCUCGGGUUGUAAAGCACUUUCAGUGAGGAAGAACGCCUGGUGGUUAAUACCCAUCAGGAAAGACAUCACUCACAGAAGAAGCACCGGCUAACUCCGUGCCAGCAGCCGCGGUAAUACGGAGGGUGCGAGCGUUAAUCGGAAUUACUGGGCGUAAAGCGCGCGUAGGUGGCUUGAUAAGCCGGUUGUGAAAGCCCCGGGCUCAACCUGGGAACGGCAUCCGGAACUGUCAAGCUAGAGUGCAGGAGAGGAAGGUAGAAUUCCCGGUGUAGCGGUGAAAUGCGUAGAGAUCGGGAGGAAUACCAGUGGCGAAGGCGGCCUUCUGGACUGACACUGACACUGAGGUGCGAAAGCGUGGGUAGCAAACAGGAUUAGAUACCCUAGUAGUC
rnacentral:rRNA from 1 species